rnacentral:rRNA from 1 species
GACGAACGCUGGCGGCGUGCUUAACACAUGCAAGUCGAGCGGGAAGGCCCUGCGUGGUACACGAGCGGCGAACGGGGGGGUGAAACGUGAGUAAUCGGCCCAUCACUUUGGGAUAACUGCGGGAAACUGGUGGUAAUAGUCAACAGGACCACGUUAUGCAGCUGUUGGUGGGGGAAAGGUCCGGCGUGGUAGGUUGGGCUGGAGGCGCAUCAGCUUGUGGGGUGGGUAGGGGGCUACCAAGGCAUGGACAGGUAGACGGCCUGAGAGGGUGACCGGCCACACUGGGCCUGAGCCACGGCACAGCCUCCUACGGGAGGCAGCAGUGGAGAAUAUUGUACAAUGGGCGGAAGCCUGAUCCAGCCACGCCGCGUGGGGGAUGACGGCCUUCGGGUUGUAAACCUCUUUCCUCAGGGACGAAGCGAUAGUGACGGUACCUGCAGAAGAAGCACCGGCUAACUACGUG